AGUCGUGAGGGAGCGUGGCCUGGCGGCGCAGCGGACGCGGGCCUGGCCUCCCGCUCGCGGCCUGUCGGGGCUGGGACCUGCCGUCGCCCCCGUUCGAGGUUGAAGCCCCGGGCCUAGGACUCGACCCCCAGCAUCCCACGGGGCCUCUUUCCUUUCCCGGCUCAUUCCGCUGUCAUUUUGACCUGGGGUUCCCCUCCAGCCCCUCGCCUCGUUCCCUUCCCAGCAUCCCAGGGCCGAGGUAUUAAUCUCUGGAGAAGACACAUCCACAGUUAGCACUUUCUUCAGAUGCUGACGCUCAGUGAACAGUUGCCUUUGGUCACAAGAUUUAGAAGACACAGUGUCCAUCCUCCCAGAUUGGAUCUCUUUUUCAUAUGGAUCUUCUGUUUCUAUGUCUUUUUAAAAAAUAACUUUUUGGGAAACCUUUUGGAUUACAACUGUUCAUCCUCACCUAUGCAAAGAAAGGGAAGCUAUUGCUGGGAUUUUGAGGAG
rnacentral:sRNA from 1 species